AGGGAACGCUGGCGGCGUGCUUAACACAUGCAAGUCGAGCGGUAACAGGUCUAGUUUACUAGAUGCUGACGAGCGGCGGACGGCUGAGUAACGCGUGGGAACAUGCCCCAAAGUGAGGAAUAACUGCCCGAAAGGGUAGCUAAUGCCGCAUAUGAUCUUCGGAUUAAAGGAUUUAUCCGCUUUGGGAGUGGCCUGCGUACGAUUAGCUAGUUGGUGAGGUAAUGGCUCACCAAGGCUACGAUCGUUAGCUGGUCUGAGAGGAUGACCAGCCAGACUGGAACUGAGACACGGUCCAGACUCCUACGGGAGGCAGCAGUGAGGAAUCUUCCACAAUGGGCGAAAGCCUGAUGGAGCAACGCCGCGUGCAGGAUGAAGGCCUUCGGGUCGUAAACUGCUUUUAUGAGUGAAGAAUAUGACGGUAACUCAUGAAUAAGCACCGGCUAACUACGUGCCAGCCGCCGCGGUAAUAC
rnacentral:rRNA from 1 species